UAAGCAACCUCACACGGCCUCGGGAAGCCAU
rnacentral:piRNA from 1 species